UUGGCUCAGGAUGAACGCUGGCGGCAGGCCUAACACAUGCAAGUCGAACGGUAACAGGAAGAAGCUUGCUUCUUUGCUGACGAGUGGCGGACGGGUGAGUAAUGUCUGGGAAACUGCCUGAUGGAGGGGGAUAACUACUGGAAACGGUAGCUAAUACCGCAUAACGUCGCAAGACCAAAGAGGGGGACCUUCGGGCCUCUUGCCAUCGGAUGUGCCCAGAUGGGAUUAGCUAGUAGGUGGGGUAACGGCUCACCUAGGCGACGAUCCCUAGCUGGUCUGAGAGGAUGACCAGCCACACUGGAACUGAGACACGGUCCAGACUCCUACGGGAGGCAGCAGUGGGGAAUA
rnacentral:rRNA from 1 species